CAACUUUUAACAACGGAUCUCUUGGUUCUCGCAUCGAUGAAGAACGUAGCAAAGUGCGAUAACUAGUGUGAAUUGCAUAUUCAGUGAAUCAUCGAGUCUUUGAACGCAACUUGCACUCUAUGGUUUUCCGUAGAGUACGCUUGCUUCAGUAUCAU
rnacentral:rRNA from 2 species